rnacentral:rRNA from 1 species
AUGAUGACGAUGGCAUCACACCACCGUCGUCGGCAUCACGCCGACUCUUCUUGUGGCAGCUUCGCACCGCCAUCUUCACAUAGCGGCACCGCAUGGCCACCAUCCUCCUUCUUGCGCCGUCGGCCUCCAUCUCGCAUGAAGUCCGUCGCGCCACAACCGACGCCGUCGCAGCCGUUGCCUCCGCCCAGCACCACGGCGGCCACCAUAGCCGCCGGCACCGUCGUCGCCGCCACGAAUCAACCUGGCUCUGAUGCCAAUUGUUGGCGCCGCCUCUCGCAGCGCCGCUUCUUCUACCUCGAGUUGCUGCCACUCACAGCUCCCUCUCUCUUUCUCUGGUUGUUUCUCUCAAGAACACAUGAAGAACACCCACGAACGCACACAUGCACCAAGGGAGAAACCAGCCGCUAG